rnacentral:rRNA from 1 species
UUAGUCUUAAUAAUAGUUUUUUAUAUUUUGUUAUAAUUAAAUUCUUUAUAUUUUUUAAUUUUUUUUGUUUUAAUUUUUUAUUAGGAUUUUGUUUGAAAUUAUUUCUUAUAAGGAAUAAUGAUUUAAUUAGUAUUGUUUAUAAUUGUAAUUUAGGAAUUUGGCAACUUUUAAUUUUAGCUGUUUAAUAAAAACAUGUCUUUUAGUAAUCUUAUUUAAAGUCUAACCUGCCCAAUGAUUUAUAUUUAAUGGCUGCAGUAUUUUAACUGUACGAAGGUAGCAUAAUAAUUUGUCUAUUAAUUAUAGACUAGUAUGAAAGGUUUUAUAAAAUUUAGUCUUUCUUAGUUAUAAAUAUAUGAAUUUAAUUUUUUAGUUAAAAAGCUAAUAUUUUUUUAUAGGACGAGAAGACCCUAUAGAACUUUAACCUAAAUAAAUAUAUUAUAUAUUUAUUUAGGUUAGAUUGGGGAGAUAUAAAUUUUUAAUUAACAAUUUUUUUUUCUAUCAAUAAUUUUUGAUUUUUUGAUCCAGUUUUUCUGAUUAUAAGAUUAAGUUACCUUAGGGAUAACAGCGUAAUUUGAUUGGAGAGUUCUUAUCGAUAAUUUAAGUUUGCGACCUCGAUGUUGAAUUAAGAUUAAAAUUGGGGGUAGUCUCUUAUAUUUUUUGGUCUGUUCGACCAUUAAUUUCUUACAUGAUUUGAGUUUAGACCGGCGUGAGCCAGGUCGGUUUCUAUCCUUAAUAGUUAUUAUUAUUUUUUAGUACGAGAGGACCAAGAAUUUAAUUAAAAUUUU